ACUACACUGAAAAAAAUGAUUCGGACCCCUUUUAAAUAUUACUUGAUUUAUUCAAGGUUAUUUCACUGAUUUGAACGUGUUAUUGAAUCCUACUUAUCUUUUUUAAUUAAUCUUAACACAUUCUUCCAUGGUUUAGAAAAAGCUUAUUUCCUUCAUUUAAAAGUUACAUAAAAAAAAUGUGUACAUUUUACAACCACAUUCAACUUCCACAUCUGCGCAUGUGCGACCACAAACCGCCCCUGGAGGACGCGGGAAUCUUUUUCACUUUUAAAGAUUUGCUAUAUCUCCUGGCUGUCUGGAUAUCCAAGGCUCUACGUUUUCAUUUUUUCUAUCUGAUGUUGGUGUGAUGUGGAACUCUUUGGGGACCUCAUAAAGUUUUGUUUAUGUGGCAGUGUAAAGACUGUGGCGCUGAAGUGUCUAGGCGAUCAGAGAUUCUUAAACAUUACAAACUAAAACAUAGUCAUUUUGGACGUGGCCUUCAUAUUAAGUGUGUAUAUCCUGAUUGGCCUGCACUUUUCCAUAUCGAUGAGAUACAUGCUGAAUUCCAACGCAUUACAGCCAUCCCACUGGAAUCUACCUUCAUGGCACAGUUGGACAGCCAUGUAGCCCAAUUGACAUCCAUCUUCCAGAUGAAGGGAGGAGUUGCUGGCCAG